ensembl:lncRNA
GUCACGGUCGUCCCUGUAACCGAGGCUUUGAUCGAGAGGGAGUGCGCCGUCCAGGUGAAGAAGUGGCGCGAGUCUCGCGGUGCCCUGACACACCAGCCGGGCCGCAGGCUUCACGGCACGCGGGACAUCCACGAGCAAAAGCGCCGCGCCGCCGCCAUCAGUUCCGGGGGAAGCCUGUCCUUCCUGGGCAGCUCCAUGUCCUCUCCUCCGCCCGGCCCCUGCGCUCCUCUUCCAGCCUCCUCUCUCUUCCCGGUUUCCGGAAAUCCAAAAAUCCGUUCUCUUACGGUAAAAAAAGCUCCUUUUCUGCGGAAACGCAGGUGUUUGGAGGCGGGACUCCUAUAAUGAUAACCUCGUCUGGGCCACCACGCCCACCUGUUUCUGCCGCGGCCCCGCCCGCAGGAGGUGCAGGAGCGCAGAGGCCUAGUCCUUUAGUGGCGAAACCCCCAACGGCACCAAAAUCUCCAGUGUCAAAUUCUGGGCCAGAAUUAACACCGGACGCCACAUCGGCGCCGAAAUCUGAACCGGAACCGACGUCGGCGCCGAAAUCUGGACCAGAACCCCCAUCGGCGCCGAAAUCUGAACCGGAACCGACGCCAUCGCCGAAGUCUGAACCGACCCCGGCGCCAAAAUCUGAACCGGAACCUGCACCGGAAUCUGCAACAAAACCCACAUCAGAACCAGCAUCAGUGUCGAAAUCCAGUGAGGAACCCGCUCGUCCGUCGAUCCCGAACCAACUCCAGCCCCCCAGAGUAGUCUCGGAACAAGUCACGCCCACGAUCCCGUCUCCCACGGCCAACAACGUGCCUCUGCCUCUCUGCGAGGACGAGGGCAAGAAGAAGAAGAAGAAGAGCAAGGAGGAGAAGAAGAAGGAGAAGGAGGAGGAGAAGCUGAAGGCGCGAGAGAAGAAGGAACGCGAUAAGGCGGAGAAGGAGAAGGCGAGGAAGGAGAAGGAGAGGGCCGAGAAGGAGAAGGCCGAGAAGAAGAAGGAGAAAGGCGGCAAAAAGAAGGACAAGGCCGCAAGCGCCGAGGCGGAGGAGAAGAACGGAGCCGCGGCAGCCAAACACGCGGCCUAGCUUUCUGAACUAAAAAGGCGAAUAGAGCACAAAGGAAGGGAGGAUUUACAUCUUAAAGAGAAUUGGAUCACGUUUUAUGGCUCUGAAUCCUCUCAUUUACAUUCACAUCCAUUAGAAGAGAUAUUAAAACGCGCGCACCUGCACACAGUCAGUCUGUACAUAGAUCAAUAGGUCGUUAUUUAGUAAGACGUCCAACCAUAAAACAUUCAUCCGAUCCCUCUAAAUCGGACAGCGACCCCUAAUAGACGUUGUCCUCGCCGUAGACUUAACAACGAGCCCGUAUUUAUGAACAUGUCUGUUAGCGUGUGCUUGUGUGUGUUUACAUGUCCGUGUAGUGUAGUGUCGCUGUCCGGUGUUCCUGACUUGACCCGUAGGAGGCGCUCUUUUUCAUCCUUCAGGAAGAAAUGGAAAGAGAGGGGAAAAAAAAAAAAAGAACCCAGUGUCUGGUUUGGCCACUAGAGGGACUCGAAGAGCAGACUGAACUGAAACUGGACUGAGGUUUGUUAGAAAUGGUACUGCGGUCAGAAUAGCGUCAUCCUAGCCAACUGAAACUCUUCGGCCGUCUUCUUAAUCUUCAUAUCUUAAGUCAUUAUGCCUGCUCGCUCUGUUUCUAUUUCAGCUCUCUGAUUGUCUGUGUGUGUGUGUGUGUGUGUGUGUGUGUGUGUGUGUGUCCCUCUGCUUUUGAAGACGGGACUAAGGCUGGGCGAUACAACCAAAAGGUUUCAUAAUCAUGAUACGUGAACUGCCCUCAAAAAUCUGCAGAAAAUCUCUCUUGAAUGUCUACAAGAAGCAGGAUCUCUUCACAGCUCCGGUUAUAGACUCCCCGGUUCGAACCCGAGCUCGGGUGAAGAGGUUUUUUUUUGUUUUUUUUUUUAAAUACACGUUUUACAACGUUCUUUCCAUGUACGUUCCUUCCAGGUUUUCUCCGACCUCCUAAAGAACCCCAUACUGAUACACAAACUUGACCUUAGGUGUGAGGUUUUAAAGACCAACUGCAAACUGUUACCAGGAAACAAUUAGCUUCCAGUUCGAUUGAAUUGUUAUUUUUUUCAAAGGGGGGGGG